GGUCGAUGAUGAGACGUAAAAGGUCUGAUAACCCGUAAUCCUCUAGCCCCCGCCUCCGCUCCCAGCAGCCCCUGCUUUACCCAGCAUGCUCUAGUCGUGCACUGCUGGUCUUCAGGAACUGCUGACACACUGGAUGUGACAUCACAAUCUGAGUCAAUCAAGAGAUCCCAUUGGCUCAGUGUGAUGAUGACUUGCAUCCCACAGAACCAAUCCGCAUGGAGCAAGGGGGCGGGGCAGAGGACAGGGAGAUGAUCACAAGUUUUCAAGCUGAGACC
ensembl:scaRNA small Cajal body-specific RNA 6